rnacentral:rRNA from 1 species
GCUACGGCCAUAUCAGCCUGGGUACGCCCGAUCUCGUCUGAUCUCGGAAGCUAAGCAGGGUCGGGCCUGGUUAGUACUUGAUGGGAGACCGCCUGGGAAUACCAGGUGCUGUAAGCA